rnacentral:rRNA from 1 species
CAGUCGCCACGGUAAUACGAGGGGAGCUAGCGUUGUUCGGAAUUACUGGGCGUAAAGCGCGCGUAGGCGGCUUUUUAAGUCAGAGGUGAAAGCCCGGGGCUCAACCCCGGAAUUGCCUUUGAAACUGGAAAGCUAGAAUCUUGGAGAGGUCAGUGGAAUUCCGAGUGUAGGGGUGAAAUUCGUAGAUAUUCGGAAGAACACCAGUGGCGAAGGCGACUGACUGGACAAGUAUUGACGCUGAGGUGCGAAAGCGUGGGGAGCAAACAGGAUUAGAUACCCCUGUAGUCCCUGUCUCUUAUAC